UUUCGGUUCUUCCUCAUUUUCUCUUGCUGCCGCAAUGUAAGAAGAGCCAUACGCCUCCCGCCAUGAUUCUGAGACCUCCACAGCGAUGUGGAACUUGCCGAAUAAUAUUUCAUUUUCUGGAUAUACCUCACUUUAUCUACUUGCUACAGAAGGGCAUCCUGCUUACUUUAAAGUUUUGGCAAUUAGGAAUAAAGCUGCUAUAAGCAUCCAGGUAAAGGUAUUUAUGUGAACAUAAGUUUUUAAUUCACUUGAGUAAAUAUCAAGAACCAUUAUUGUUCUAUCAUAUCGUAAGAGUAUUUUUAGUUUUGUAAGAAACGCCAAAGUGUCUUUCAAAGUGGCUGUAUCAUUUUGUAGUCCCUCCAGCAGUGAAUGAAAGUUCCUCUUGCUCCACACCCUCACCAGCAUUUGAUGUUGUCAGUGUUUUGAAUUUUGAUUAUUCUAAUUGCUGUAUAGUAGAAUCUCGAUGUUGUUUUAAUUUAAAAUUCCCUAAAGACAUAAGGUGUUGAACAUCUUUUCAGAUGCUUACUUUUAACUGUAUGUCUUUUCUGGCAAGCUGUCUGCUUGUCUUUUGCCCCCUUUUAAUGGGAUUGUUUGUUAUCUUGUUGUUGAGUUUUAAGAGUUCUUUGUAUAUUUUGUAUAACAGCUUUUUAUCCUAUGUGUCUUUUGCAAAUAUUUUCUUCAAGUCUGUGGGUUUCCUUCUCAUUUUGUUGAAAAAAAACAUAUAUUUUUAAAUAAAGAAGAUAGAUAGAAACACUUUGAUGAUUAAUGAAAUUCUUGAUAAUUAUAUCUGAGUUAUUAAAUACUUAUUAAUUUUAAUGACAUUUUACAUUGUUUACAUGUGUUAACUUUCUUAAACUUCAAAAAUAAAAUAAUUGGAAAAGGGAGCAAUAU
rnacentral:lncRNA from 1 species